rnacentral:rRNA from 1 species
AUGCAGAUGAGAAGCGCCACCCUAUGCUUCCUCAUCAUACUUGUGUUACUUGGAAGUUCUACUCACGCAGAGAACUGCAACACUCACGAGAUUACAAUUGAUGCAUGCGUGAAGCCAAUUUGUAAGUUGGCAUGUCUUGCUUCCUACGGGAAGCAUUUGAGGGAGUAUGGUUGCACAGGCAGCCCACCAGUUAUUUGUGUUUGCUAUGUAUGCCAUGAUUAG